rnacentral:rRNA from 1 species
CGGGUGAGUAACACGUGAGUGACCUGCCUUUUAGACUGGAACAACUUACCGAAAGGUGAGCUAAUGCCGGAUGAGUUAUAUAAGUGCAUGUUUAUAUAGGAAAAGUUGGGGAGACCUGACGCUGAAAGAUGGACUCGCGUCCCAUUAGCUAGUUGGUAGGGUAAUGGCCUACCAAGGCGACGAUGGGUAGCCGGCCUGAGAGGGUGGCCGGCCACAUUGGGACUGAGACACGGCCCAAACUCCUACGGAAGGCAGCAG